UCCUGCCUGGUUCCAAGAUGUCAUCCCAUUGGAGCAACAUCCUUUUCCAUGAAAGGAUUUUAUUCCUGGCAUUCACCAAAGACAUGUCACUCCAAUAUGUGAUUUGAAAUGCUAAAUGCAAAUGAUGACCUGACAAUCAACCCUCUGCACACAUUUUUAGAUCACCUUGGGUACAUCUUGUAGCUAAAAAAGGAUUCAAAUUCAAAGUCAGCCAACCCGGCUUCAGACUCCAUCCUCCAACUGUCACGCCGUAGAGCUGGCAUAAAACCUGGUGGGGUGGAGCAUGAGAUCACCUCAGGGGCUUUGGUGUUGGGUCUUGGAAUCUUCCAGCUUCAAAUUUUCAGCAUCGCAGAACGUAAUUCCCACUAUGUCCCGUUCCAUGACCACUACACCAGGAAUGUAAGUGCCA